UAAAAGGACACCUUUUCAUUUACAAUUUGUCAUAAACCUCAUUUUGUUAAGACAAGAAUCGUGAGAAAAUCGUAUUGUGAAAUCAGUAUCAUGAAUUCUAUUGCACUGAUUUGAGUGAAUGCUUACAUGCCUACUGUUGACUAUUUUCUGUUACCGCUUUAGUUACAUGGAUGAUAUAAACUGAACUUGCUCUUGAACUAAAACCACUGGCUUCAACUAAACUCUUCAUGUCAUCUGUGUGAUUUAACAGCUAGAGAUGGAGUGUAGAAACGAGAUAACACGGAGAAAACGACUGGAGCAUCAGAAAACAGAUCGGAAAUAAAUCAACAGGACAGAGAGAAAAAUGGAGGCCAGAAAUGAGACACAAACCAGUGAAACACAAGAGAAAAGCAGACAGAUGCUUGUUAGAUGUGACAGUAUGAAGAUAAUAAAACCAAACUUCUCACGUGAUCCAGACGGACCUGUAAACCUUCAUUCUGAUGAAACUUCAGCAUGUUCUGAAGAACACACAGCAUCCCUGAGACAGCAGCAGCUAAAGACAACAGCAUCCUCAUCACAGACUCCAUCCAUCCACACUACAGUCUGGUCAGAUCCUCAGGGACGUGCACAGACAUUUUGAGCAGAAAGGGCUCAAGUGGGAAAAAAAGGCACUUCUCAUAUUUAUUUAGUUAUUUUUUUCAACAAAAAAAAAGAAAAGAAAAGUUAAAUAUAUUAACACAACUCUGACUUAAUUACCAAUUUAUUUUAAUUCCCUCACACUCACCCAGUUGUUUCAUGUUGUUUAAUUUUUAAACAGAUCAGAAACAAAUAAUCAGUUCACAUAGAGACCAUUGGUCUUCUUUAGCAUUCACUAAUUUUAUGACAAGAACAGGCAACAACGAAGGAAACUAAGCCCCAAUGUGCAACAAGUAUGUAUUUAGAAUAAAUGACUGCACAAAGGUGAGGGACAUAUUUUCACUAAUAAUUUGUUCAUUUUGCACAAGACAAUAAAUUGUUUGAAUUAUUUUGGUGUUAUUGUAAUGUAUAUGCAUAUGAUGGAUUUGCAUAUGAUGGACAUAUGAUGGAUUUGGUCCAUCAGCAUGGCGCCGCAAAUGGCAGCAAGGACGCUGAGCUCCGCAAUUCUUCUAUUGUUUUUGUUUGUUUGUUCUGUGUUUUGUCAUUCUUCUUCUAUAAGUUUUACCAGAGACGAACUCCUUAACAUUAAGCAGCACAUCCCGGACAACAUUUUUCCGUUUUUUGAUCAUUCGGACGUUUUGUUGGACAUUCUAGUCCUAUACUUCUAUUUCUGUAUAUAGUACAUUAU
ensembl:lncRNA